AUGGAUAAAUUCAAGUCUAUGAUAGGAUCAAAUCCUGAUGUCGUCGAACAAGCCGGCAAGAAAGCAGGUCAAAUGGUGGAGCAAGCAGUGAAGACUGCUUUGAGUGGGAAAGAAGGACAGAAAGGAAAGACGAAGCCAGGAGGACAGGGGCCGAAGGUGGAAGGACAAGCAGGAGGAGCACAAGCGAAGGUGGAAGGACAAGGAGGAGGAAAGGCGGCGGUGAAGGUGGAAGGACAAGGAGGAGGACAGGCGGGGGUGAAGGUGGAAGGACAAAAAGGAGGAGCAGAAGCGAAGAAGCAAGGAGAAGGGGACUUUGAUCUUGAUGAUGCACUUUCUGCAAUCUAAGGAGGCAAAAAGGAAGGAGGUAAGUUUUAAGGACAGAAAGCAAUGGCAUGACACAAAAAGAAUGGGCAGAAUUUUCAGAAAGAACUGCUAGGUUCUUCCUGCCAUUCCUAAGCAGAUUCGUGGAGAAGGAACCUUUUGACCUAGAAAUCCACCCAAAAAGACAGUUGUUUCAGUGGGUGUAGUAGCCCCACCUCAUGACAUCUGUCCCACAAUCUGCCAGGCCAGAACCACAACAGUUUACGCUUUCAUGUUUGUCUGCUCUCAGGUUCGAAAGGCUUCCUGGGGGAAUUCGGCCUGUAAAAACUCAGCAGAAUCUUCUUCAGCUUCAUCCAUGUCUGCUACAGAAGCAACUGAAGUCUGAGUCCACAUUUUUAUGUCAGAUUUCCUACAUGAAGACCAUCAACUUCUUGUGAUGUACUCAACAAAAAUAAAUUUCUUUGAGUCAAAUGUUCUCCUGUGUUUUCCUCAAGACAUGAAGAUGUGAACAAAAUGACACCACCCUACUUAGUUAUGAGAGACAAACCCACAAAAACGUCACAAAACUGAAAACAAAGAAAAGUCAAAUCUCCAUUUCCAGAUAGUUGGGGGGGAAAAAAGCACAAGUCAGACCUAUUUUUAAAUACAAAAAUCACACAAUAAAUGACCAACAGGCCCAAUCUCCUACUAAUCAUGUCAAACAGUCUGGAUAAACCAUACCACAUUUUAAAGGCUUUUUUUUUACCUCAUAUUUCAAAACGCUCUUUUUCUCAGUUUCAGCCAAGAGAACAGUAAACAAUGUAUAGUUAUUAGUAUGGAUCAUUUUAUUAAAUAAAAUGGAAAUUAGAAUUUAUUAAGGAAGAAUUUAUUUCAGUCUUGAUACUAAUAAACAUCCAGAGGUCUAUCUACAGAUGUACACUGAUGAUACUCUGGUUCUUGUAAAAACUGUCUUUAAGUCAUUUAAAAAUUAACCAAAAGUUUAAAAAUAGAUAUCCACUUGGAUGGAUGACUCCUGAAUAACUCAACACAAAGAAAUAUUGAAACCCUUCUCCAGAGGUUGUCACACCUGUAAUCACUCUGACUGGAAGGGCCUAAUCAGGUUUGGUGUCUGAAUGAUCAAAGUCUGAAGAAUUUUUUUCAGUUGAAAGUGUAACCCUUGUGCUAUCCUAGGCACUUUAACGUUGGGAGUUGGGUCGUCUAGACCCACUUGACAGUGCUCUGAACCUUUUCUCUUCAAUGAUUUGUGAUCUUGACUGGUGUCCAUGGAUUACAUGAAUUCUUUACAUCUUAAUCCACAUUUGUCAUGGUAGGGAGAACACGUCAAUGUAAGGGUGGGGUCAUCUAAGAUAGCACAAGGGUUAAAAAGUCCUCAUCUUGCAUGGAGCACAACAUUUGAAGAUCUUUCAUUAAUUUUCUACAACCAUGAAAUAGUCUAAGCUUUAGAAAUGUAUAAAAGGGAAAAACAUUCAAAUUGAUAGAUUCAAGAGCAGAUUAGCUUAAGAACCUGACGGCAUUAGGUAGUGUAAAGGAACUGAAGUAGAAGAUGAGAAUGUGAAGAGAGGAAAUGAGAAGCUGAAAAAUUACCUGUUUCUAAUAGAUGGAAGUUUUACUGAAGCUGUGUUCUGUCUGAAGGAGAGGAGGAACUGGGUUCUUCUGCAGUGAACUCCUGGAAGGUCAGCUCUGGUCAUAAACUAAAGGGAAGAGCUGUAAUGAUCUGAACUCAGAUCCUUCAUGGAAAAAAUUGACAGCUGAUUGGAGCUGAUGCUUUAGUUUGGCUGGGACCAAAAUCAAAUCUUAGGUUUUUAUUUUUAUUUUUGCAGCAAACAAGAUGCAGAGAUAAACCCGGAGCAAAAGGAGAAAAAAAAGAUUUCAUGGAUCAUCAGAAAUCGACACAAAAAACAGAACAGCUGUGAAACAAGCUUUUCCUGAAUUCUAAGUUUUAAAGUAAAAUUGCAUUUUUUUUCCACUCAUUCACAUCAUUAUCGAGCAAGCCUUCAUCUCCCAAAAUGCUUUGCCUAAAAGUAAAGUCAUCUUAGAGAUUUUAUGAAAGAAUUCAUUUGUUUGAGAGCUUCUUUCUUCUAAAACUAAGAUCACAGAAGUUACUUCCUAUGUACUUGAGUAUUCCAUGCUUGGAAGGGCUUUUAGAUCUGUUGGGAAGAAAACCAGAGCAACUUUAUAAUGGGAGUUUGAGUGAAGCGUCACUGCAUUCACAUAUUAUCAAAAACAAAGAUUGCGCACAGCUCUGCUAUGGAGGGGCUCCGUACAAUAAAAAAAAAAAAUCAUUUAAUCACCAACCCGAGGUCUAUGACCCCUCCCUCCUGCUAAACAGCCCUUUUUCUAACUUCAUCUCACUCAACAGACCCACAGCGUCAGGGUCAGUUUUGUUUUAAUACGUCUGGCUGAUCCAGGGGAUCACCUUGGUUUGUGUGCCACAUAAUUUGCCUGUGAAUCAUCUUUUCAUGAAAGAUGAGAAACACUCACACCUGCAGAGGUGCGCCUCCUCCCUAAGAUGCAGCCACCUGAAGUCAGCUCUCAGGGCAGCAGCAGCUCGUAAAGAGGGUGUACAUGAACACAGCACAAUUGAAUCAUGUUAGAAAUGUCACAGCUGGUGGAACAGGUUAGGCCUGUCUGCCACACCUGUAUAGCAACCGAGAUAUCUGAGUGGCGUCCACUGCUUCAGUCUCAUCUUUCUGUUCAAACACACACUGACUGACGGCUGUUCUUACCCUCUGACACACUCUGCAGGCAUGGACAGGCUAGCAAGAAUGGUGGGAGACAAAGUGGGUGAGUGCAGCAGCUCAGAUUUCUGUUUUCAUGGUCUUGACUCACAUGGAGGAGUCCAUUGUCAGGUGAACACCUGCCUCUUAUUAAAGAUAUGUUGGAGGUAAAACAGAUGGGUUAAUGCCAGCUUUAAUCAGCUCUCACAGCUCCUAAAAUGGGUCUGUGUAUGCGCAGAACUUUCUUUUGCUCAUAGCUCCAAUUUACAUCUGCACCCUGAGCUCUACCCUCCAGCCUGUUUCCAGGUCUCUCUGCUCUGCUUUCUGCUAAUAAGCUGACUUAGGUGUCUCCUCAUGCUGAUUGACUGAACACAUCUGAUCCAGGUAAUCAGAACCAAGAAGCGUGAAUAA
ensembl:lncRNA